CCUGCAUCCCCUUUCUGCCCAAAUGGGUUUUUUGCUACCAUAUCAAAGAACCUGACAUAUGGCGGCAUAGGAAGCAGAAGCUAAGCCUCUCUCCAGCUGCUGCUGUGUAAAAUCCAUGCGUGGCCAAAGAGAAGUCAGGGGAUUAUGACAUAAAUGGUGCUGGGAAGAACCCUCUGCCUAAAACUGUCUCCUUCUCCUGGUGCUACAACCGGAAUCCACCAUGAGAGAGUACUUUCUUCGGUUCUUUCCUCCUGUCCUUGACAGAGUAACACGUUAAUCUGGUUCUUGGUGGUGUUAGGGACUGAUUCUCUCAGGAAAGGCACACAUGGUAUGAUGGCUCUUCCCAGAGUCUAUGUGAUGCUACAUAACUUCAGUAUCUAGCUGAGACAUGCUUCCUACAUGACUGUUAAAGCACAGCCAAUCCAGGCCAAGAAGACUAGUAACAGGCACAUUCUGAAAGAUGGAAGCAGCACUGAUAGAUCAAAACCACCACUGCAUAUGUAUUACACUGUUUUUGUUCACCAUUUUCCUAAGUGUGUUAUUUAGAAUAUUGGUUAUUACAAGGAAAAAUAAAGUGGGGAGGCUGGUUAGGCCUUGUGAGUUUGGGAAACUUAGGUUAUAAAAACUAAAUAAAGUUUUUCUACUGUGAGACUAGAUGUGCAGGAGUGAAAGGUGUAGAGGGUCUUGUUUUCCAAAUUCGAUCUCAGAAUCUUUUUGCCAGAAGUGUCUCAUGGGACUUAUCUAUAGUGGAACACAUUUGAAGACCUACUGCUCUAUUAAGAAGGCAGCCGGACAACAUGUUCUAAUACUUCGUAUGCUUUGUGACCUAGUUAAAAUCUAAACUUAAGUCGCCAUGGCCAGUGGCCUUUAGAUUAAGCUAGCCUUACCCCUGGGAGUAUACCAGAGCUUUCCAAGGAAUACACAGACUCCAGUACUCUCAGGGGAGCAGUGUUCAGAGCCUCAUCUUCCUGUUAUAUUCUUCUCUAAGAUUCAUCUGCCUGAGAAAAUGCCCUUUUCUCACCUUACAAAAGAAAAUAUGGCUGUCUCCACCUCUAGUCUUACUGUAGAGCAUGUCCCAAGGUGUAAAAAUUCAAAAUGUGGAUAUUUGGAAAGUGAAAGACUUAUCAACAGGGCACAAAUCUUUUUGCAAAUGGAUUUUCCAAGUUUUUCUGGUGGUUCCAAAUUUUUUGCUUUCAACAAAGUGGGAGGAACAGCCUGUAGAUUUCUGAGUCUCUUAGCAUGUAACUACAAAGGGGUUGGAAGAAUUCAGUGAUUCUGCUAUCAUAAAGCUUCCGUUCCCAUUGAUGUAUCUGUGUGAACAAGGAUCAACAUCUCCAUAAAUGAAAUUGAAAACGGAAAAUAGAAUUGAUGAUGAACUUUGGCUCAAUCUUAAGAUGUUAUCAAUCUACAUAGAUGAAAUAAUUGUGGAGAAAAGCCCUCUUUAUCUCAUUAAGUGAUACAUUUCCAAAGAAGUUUUACUAUGUUUAAUAAUUUAGUGAAAUUUGGGCUAUGUGUUUAUUGAUUCAGCUCAAUCCAGAGGAAAAUUUUAAAGGCUUACAGCCUUAGGAUUAUAGGAUACUAUAUAAUACUUUUGGUACAGAGAUAGAAUUAAAUAACAUAAAAAUCAAAAAUUUAUUAGGCUAAAAUUUUGAGGGAGAAGUGGUAUGAAAAUACAAAUUCAAGGAGUAAAAGGAAAAGUGGGGCAUUCCUUGCUACUAAAAAUUGCCUUGUUCCAGGUAAGACUGAUCAUAAAAAAAUGGCCCUGUUCAUAAAAUUUUUAAAAAGAUCAUAGUAUCUAUCAAAUAACUUAUAUUAAGAACCUCCUGGGCUAAAUUUAAAAAGUAAUACAACAGUUUUAUUUAAACAUGUAGUGUCUACGGUAUGCCAGCACUUUGCAGCUAUUUAUAAUGAGAAAUUUUAGAUGUCAAUAUAGCAAUGUGCAAGAAGAUAGAGAUUUUCAAAAUUCACUUAAGAGUAUCUGAGCAUAAAAUGUUAAGAUUGCUGAUCGGAUGUGAGGGCGAUCUGGCUGCGACAUCUGUCACCCCAUUGAUCGCCAGGGUUGAUUCGGCUGAUCUGGCUGGCUAGGUGGGUGUCCCCUUCCUACCUCACCGCUCCAUGUGCGUCCCUCCCGAAGCUGCGCGCUCCGUCGAAGAGGACGACCAACCCCGAUAGAGGAGGACCGGUCUUCGGUCAAGGGUAUACGAGUAGCUGCGCUCCCCUGCUGGAACCUCCAAACAAGCUCUCAAGAUUGCUGAUCUAGGGCCACUAAGUGAUGAAUUGUAUUUGGAAGCAAAAAGGAUGGCUAAAAAGGACCUCAACCCUUUUGACUUUAAAAGGAAAAUAGCUUAACCUUCAACCUGUGUGACAUUUAACUUUUUGAACCCAACCGUAAAAGCUAUCUUCUAACCAACAAAAAGUUAAUAAUUAGAUUUGGAAUUAUACAGAAUUAGAAAAUUGGCAUUUAAAAAUACUCAAUAAUUUGUCCCUGGUUUUUAAUUUUCAAAAUAUUUUCUUUUUGAAGAGCCAGAUUCCAGUGAUCCUGCCUCUCAGAAAUUUCCACAUUUCUUAUUUUUCAUUAGGCCUUAAGAAGCUGCAUUUGUAAACUUGUGUUUCAUUAUUAAAGCUUAAUUUAUUUUUUAUAUAAAUAGUAUGUGCUUUGUGUACAUAGAGAAUUAAGUGAAUGAGUCACACAGAUGUUGGCUGUUGUUAAUGUGAAAAUUAAACAGCUGUAUCACAUUUUGAAAAAUAAAAGUUUCAUCUGAAUGAAUAUAGCAA
rnacentral:lncRNA from 1 species